rnacentral:rRNA from 1 species
CGCCUUUGGAAAAUCAUCAAAAGGUCCUGCCUGCCCGGUGAUUAGAAAAAUUAAACGGCUGCGGUACUCUGACCGUGCAAAGGUAGCAUAAUCAUUAGCCUGUUAAUUUCAGGCUGGCAUCAAUGGCAAGACGAAGAAAAAGCUGUCUCUUUCUAUUAUUUUAGAAUUUUUCUUUUUGGUGAAGAGACCAAAAUAUAAAAGUGGGACGAGAAGACCCUAUUGAGUUUAAGUUAAUUAGUAGAAGUUAAAUUUUUACCAAAAAACUUUGGUUGGGGCAACUGUUUAUAAAAUUAAACAUAAUAAAAUAUAAAUUGAAUUAAAUCUAAAAGUUAAAAUACCCAGGAUUAUUCUGGAAUUAAAAAUAAUUACCAUAGGGAUAACAGCGUAAUUCUUUUUGAGAGUACAUAUUGACAAAAGAGUUUGCGACCUCGAUGUUGGAUCAAGUUUUCCUGGAGGUGCAGCAGUUUCUAAGGGUUGGUUUGUUCAACCAUAAAAAUCUU